rnacentral:rRNA from 1 species
AACGAACGCUGGCGGCGUGGAUAAGACAUGCAAGUCGAACGGGAUUUGUCUGGUAGCAAUACCAGGCGAGUUCAGUGGCGUAAGGGUGCGUAACACGUGGGCAACCUGCCGGGAAGUGGGGGAUAGCUCGCCGAAAGGCGAAUUAAUACCGCAUGUGGCUGGUGAAGACAUCUUCACGAGGCCAAAGCCGGGGACCUGGAAACGGGCCUGGCGCUUCCUGAUGGGCCCGCGGCCAUCAGCUAGUUGGUGAGGUCACGGCUCACCAAGGCGAUGACGGGUAGCUGGUCUGAGAGGACGACCAGCCACACUGGAACUGAGACACGGUCCAGACACCUACGGGUGGCAGCAGUCGAGAAUUUUUCNCAAUGGGGAAACCCUGAAGGAGCGACGCCGCGUGGAGGAUGAAGGUCUUCGGAUUGUAAACUCCUGUCAUUGGGGAACAAGUGCCGUGCGUUAACUGCGUGCGGCUUGAUAGUACCUGAAGAGGAAGAGACGGCU